rnacentral:rRNA from 1 species
GAUCAUGGCUCAGAUUGAACGCUGGCGGCAGGCCUAACACAUGCAAGUCGAACGGCAGGCGGGGGGAAGCUUGCUUCCCUGCCGGCGAGUGGCGGACGGGUGAGUAAUGCCUGGGGAGCUGCCCAAUCGAGGGGGAUACCAGUUGGAAACGACUGCUAAUACCGCAUACGCCCUGAGGGAGAAAGGUGGGGAUCUUCGGACCUACCGCGAUUGGAUGCACCCAGGUGGGAUUAGCUAGUUGGUGAGGUAACGGCUCACCAAGGCGACGAUCUCUAGCUGGUCUGAGAGGAUGACCAGCCACACUGGAACUGAGACACGGUCCAGACUCCUACGGGAGGCAGCAGUGGGGAAUAUUGCACAAUGGGGGAAACCCUGAUGCAGCCAUGCCGCGUGUGUGAAGAAGGCCUUAGGGUUGUAAACCGCUUUCAGCAGGGAAGAAGCGAAAGUGACGGUACCUGCAGAAGAAGCACCGGCUAACUAUGUG